ACGGAGUAGUGUCUCCGUCAAUUCAGAGGACAUUAUAUAUACUUACAUUGAUUUGCUGUAGAUUUACUCAAACCUUAACCAUAAUUACUACCAUAACCCCUACCCUAUGCUAACCUUAGCAUAAGCCUAUUGACCUUAGCCUUAACUUAACUCAAACCUUAACCUAACCCGAGUCAAAACUUCAAAGACAAAGCCUAAACUUAGACCUAAUUUUAUCCUUAGCCUAAACGUAACCCAGGCCUAAACUUAGCACCAACAUUAACCUAACCUUAUCCUAACCUUUACCCAAACCUAAACAUAACCCUUAAAAUGUGAUGUUUUUUUUAAAUCGGAUUUUGCUUUUUGUCCCCGUAAUAUGCUUGUGUAAAUAGAUUAAAGUCCCCACAUUGUGAGUAAUACCUAGACCACACAUACACAACACAAUUGCAGUAUGACAUCACUUAUAUUAUUUUAAGGGCAACACUCUGUCAGUGUGCAAUAAAUACCAGCCGCCAGCUCAUGUUCCUGAGUACACAUGUACUGUACAGUCGAGCUCGGGUCUGGUUGGCUCCGCCUUUUUAAAGCUGCUUCCGUUAAUCCUAUGUUUCAUUCACAUUGUGAAACUCAAAGCACUAAAACAAAGAGCAGCAUUAAGCGUGUGAGACGGUCACACACCGACACCUUGUUUAUCAAGCGUCUAAGAAGGGACUUAAGGGUUUAAACCCUGAUUCUUUACUCCGAUGCUAAGUAAACAUGUUCCCUGCAGACCUUGUAUGUCAUCCGCGAUAGCAAUUGGGUUUUUAGCCUAUCAUGUGUCAGCUCACAGGAGAUUGUUUUAUGGCAGCAGAUCCAUAGUGCUGUCCUUCACACCUGCUCGUGUUACGUGUUAAUUCAGUUUUCCCCUCGUAAUAUGCAUCUUCUUUGUGCCCUGACAUUCACAAAGUCUCACAUCCUCUGUAAGCAGUUGUAGGGCUGAGAGCCAAGGUAAGGGAGGGUGGCCGUGUGUGUGUGUGUGUGUAUGUGUGUAUGUGUGUGUGUGUGUGUGCGUGUGUGUGUGUGUGUGUGUGUGUGUGUGAUCCCUGCAAAGAGUGUGGCAGAGUAGCAUAGAGAUCUAUUAAUAUUGAAUCAAGCAGGAAACCCCCCCGGAGACUGGUGGUGGGCUGGUAGCACCUCUUGGUCUGUGGUGCACAGAUCACAGGUUUACAACGCUCUUACAAGAGGGAGUGAUCAAUGGCCAAGAGAAAACAAUGCAAGGAGCUGGAAUGUUCCAUUCUCUAAACAUGUCUGGGAAACACACCAUUAUUUAUUUGUCUGCCAGUGAGUAGCCAUGUUCCUGAAGGGGAAAGCCUUGUUUCCUUUAAACGUCCACAUAUUGUUGUGCGGUUGCUUUACAUCCUCAACUGACAGCAUGCAGCCACAUCCAUCUUCAGCAGAAGGGACACAGUGUGGUUUUCUUACUUCUGCUUCGUCGUGCCCCAAUGAGCUAAUUAUUUUGGAACGGGCAUGGAGUGAGUGACAGAUGUGAGUAGUCUUGAGUGACACUUCUGUCAUGAUAAUAAAAUAGACUUCAAAACAAACUCCUUCAGCCUGGGCGUACUGCUGAAUCAGUGCCGCUAACAGUGAUACCAUCGCGCCAACUGCAGGAAUUAAUAUUCCAUCUUCUUCGAGUCUAGUCAGACAGUUUCCACUGUGCACAAGCUACCUCCUCCAGGAACUUAAAGGGAUAACAGGUCAGUGGGUGACGGAGACAGUCUUGGGCUUGUAUUAAUUGAGGCUUUAAAAUAGAAUACAGUUUCUUCUAAUAUACGUUAAAGACCUGUUUGUAAAAGGAAAAUAGGUGCAUUACAAAACUUCUCUCAGACCUGCACUGUCUCUGGUUAUCAUUAAGAAGGGAGUCUCGUCUUUGUGGGUAUUUACCAAGGGAAGUUGCUCCGAGUGCUGCCUCCUUGUGAAAUAGUUUUGAAAAGGAAUUACGAGCCGUUGGACCGAAAAGCGACUUGCAUGUAACCCGGCUUAAUUUAUUUAUCAUUUUAUCUUUGAUGUUUUUUUUUAAACGUGUUAUUUUUAUGGAAUUGUGAAUGAUGUAUUUAUUCAUUGAUAGAGAGGAUUUUAUUGUAUUUCGACCCUGAAACGUCGUCUUAUUCUGAGGUUGUUUUUUUUUCUUAUGGGAAGAAGCUCACCAGAGAUUGUCAACCACAUGAUAAAAUCUGUGCUUACUUUAACCUUUCACACUUAUUUUGCUUAUGCUGACCUUAAUUCAGGUUUUUAUUUUUUCCAACUCUCCUCAAACACUAAUUCCCAUAAAAGACCAAUAGGGAGUGGGUCCUGCCAUUACCAGUGUAUCUUUUUGUGUCUCCAUCUUAAUUAAAAGCGCUUCCACUUCCGCAUUUACUUUAUUUAAAACACUGUCUUAUUCAGCAGUUCCCCAAGCAGAAGAAAACCCCCCCACAAACACUCAUGCCUUCCUCAAUCAGGAGUUUACUCUUAGUGUUGCAAUAAUUCUGUUCAGUCGAGUUUGUUGUCGAGUUUGCAUUUGCUCUCUGUGUCUGUGUGGGUUUUCUUUUGGUUCCCCCCACAGUUCACAGACUGGGGUUAGGUUGAUAUAGACUAAAUGGACUGCAUGUGUUUGAGUGCUACAUAUGUAACCAAACAUAUGCUGUGUGGACAACGAAUAGGUAAUUCCUACAUUUCCCUAAGUGUACUUUUACACAACAUGAAUUGAAACUGAAUAUUUUCACCAGGACGUAACUGUCAAUUGAGCUAACUUAGAAAGUUGUCCCACAAGCUGCUGUGAAGUGCAUAUUGAUGCACUUCACACUUUUUUUGAACUGUCACACCACUUUUCUUUCAUUGUACUGUGGUCUAUGUGGCUUUGGGUGUGACUCCUUUAGAGGUAAUACAUAAAGAGGAAGUUCUGUAACAUUUUGUUUCAGUAAUUUCCUCAAGAUAUAAAAUACAAAAAUAAUGCUGACUAAUUGAACGUUUUUCCUUAAAGACCUUUGGGUAGAAACAGACACUAACUUUUUUUCAGAACGGCUGAAUGACUCAACGCUCAAACACUGAUGCACAAUAUUUCAUGGGCAAAACCAAAGGCACAGUAAAGUUUUAACAGUGUUGUCUGCAAACAUUUGCUAACCAGUUACAAGAAGGGUUGCUAAUCUAUAGGAAUGUGUGACACUUUAAAAAAGCAGCAAGCUAUUCUAACGUAUUAAGUUAUGGUCUAACGGCUGCCUGGCUGUCCAGUUAUUUCAUAAAGGGGUCUGUGAAUCCGAUGCACUGUGGUGGAAAACAAAGAGAUAAAAGGAUGAACAAAGACUUAAGAUAUUUUGAGGAAUUUGGAUCCUUGGUGCAGUGACUAGCAUAUAUAUCUAAACAGCAGGAUUUAUGGAAAAACACAAUAUUAUAAAACUAUAUUCAGGGAAUUAACCCUCAUAUAGCAUAAGACUGUAAAAUGCCCAAUACAAGUCCUGUGUAUAUACAGUAUUUACAUAUUUAAUGGUAUUUGCACACAAUAUGUUGGUUAUACAUACCAGGCAAAUAUUAUUCAAACCGAUCUUCAAUCUGAGCUACUGAAUGUCAAACUCUAUUCAAAACUUUUUUUUUUCAGUCAAGCUCUUCAAAAGCGUUCCAUACACUGACAUAGUCAUACCACGCAUUCCGUUACAAGGCGUUUAACUCUCGCAGAAAAAGCACGUGCUGAUUUUUAGGACAUUUGCAUUAUGGCAACUACCUUCACCUCGCAGCUAUGACUCCAAUACCCACAACGCACAGUGGCAAACAUAAGGUCAUGCAGACCGCACAUUCAACCACAGGAGUUUCCCACGACCAUUUCGAAUCAGUGAAUGAAAACCCCUCGAAACAUCAAACGAGAUCUUCAGAAAUUCCAGUUUUGUCUUUUCGCUGGGGCGAGAGCGGGCACAAGAUUGCAUGCUGGCAGACACAAGAUUGCUUUGACGGUUAUGGGCUCGAUCCGUCAUGUGAGAUCUCGGGGCCAAAGUAGAGCCUCUGGGAAACCUAUAGGCUUAGAACGCUGCAGGCUGCUGCUUAAUGAAGGGGCAACAAGGGCUGGUCCCAUUAGAGAAACAGAGAUAGAGCUGUGUGUGACCUCAAUAGCAGAGUGAUGCAUUUAAUGUAUGGUAGUACAGCAAAGGUUUUUGGCCAAAAGACUUAAGAUGAACAAGCAACACAGCAGAACAUCCUCAAAAAGCACAAUAUAUUAUAUAUUGUGCUUUUUGAAAUACGUUCUAGAAAACAAAUGGCAGCCUGAACAGCUUGUGAGUCAACUUGGGAAACAGUUACUCUGUCUCUCGGCAGGGUCACACACAGAACCACUCAUCUCUCGAUGUGUUAAUCUACAAACCAACUUGGGCUUUCACGCCCUCACACAUAGACUUUCUGUCUCCGUCGAACUCAUAAGCAGUUCUUCACCCCUGUGUGUGCUCAUGCAUGUACUUGGCGUCUGAUGUCUCCCUGCAGCGCGGCCGGGUGCUGCAGGAGAUCAGCAGAGCAGCUCAAGAAGUGCUGCAAAGGUUUCGAUUGUGUGUGAGGGGGUUUGCAAGCAGGAGGAAGUGGAGCAGCCACAGACACACCGUUUCAAAUAGUGAUUACAUAUAAAGGCCAUUUUUAUGGCUCUGUCACCACAAGACAUUCAGCUUCACACAUGAACUCAAUACUUCUAUUGUGUUAGGGUUGUCAUAGUGGUAUGAACCAGUCUUGAUGGUAUUGCAGAUGUAUUUGAAGAUCUUAUGAGCGAUAAUUGUGCCAAGCAAAUUGAUUAUUUUGGUCGUCUGCUUCACCUAAAGCCGAUUUAGAGAUUGUGUUAGCGAGGUGGCUUUAGCUCAGCUUUCUAGAAACUCUUCAAUUAUGCAAGACUGGAAUACAUUAGAGAUAAAAUUAGAUUUUCCACCCCUGUUUACUUAGAACGGCAUUUGCCGUGUGGAUUUUCUGUUAGAAUCACCCGUCAAUGCAGGAUUAAAAUUGUGACAGACAAACUGCAGACACUGAUAACACAUAAGAGUUGCGUUUACUCACUGAGGUUGACGGAAAUCUCUGACUGUGAUCUCGUAGCUCUGAAUCCAGCACAGCAGCCUGCAGCCUGAAAUGUUGAAGCAUACAAACAACUGUAUUCCACUGUUAAUGGACAAGUGGCUUUCGUACGACCUUCAUGAGGGGCUGUGGGUAGAAAAGUCCACUGUCUCUGACACGGUAAUGAUUAAUGUGAGUGCGAGCAGUUUUGACAAGCACAGGCACCAGAUCCAAAUCCUGAGAGAUAAUAUCAGCGGACUUAUAGAUUUGAGAUUCAGAUUCAGCAGAUACAGCAGACAGAAACUGUUGCAGGAAACUACCUAGCAUCCUACAGCAGUUUGUGAGUUAUACCAACCAAACCACAAGCCUCUGUCAUGAGGCUGCUUUGCCACCGGGAUGAUGUGUUUCACUAAAACCGAGAGGGCUUUGCCAGCAAAACAGCCCCUGACAGGAGGCUCAGGGACGAACAAAGCAGCUCCAGCUGCCACAUCUGUCAGCAGAUGCAGCCAGAGGCAGGAUUGGCUCCAGGCAGAUGGCGUAAUCCUGUGUGGAUGUGAAGCAGGGGAGGGAGAGGACACACAUCCAGCAGGCGUCUGCUGCAGGUGGCUUACUGACAGUCUUUGUUAUUAAAGUGUUAAAGUGGUAGCUUCGCAUCCGGCUCUCUCUCACCACACAGAGGUUUCUGCUUUCGUACCACCUUUCUGUCAAGUGAUGGGUCUUUUUCACUGACGUCAAUUUAGUUCGGUAUGGAAGCUCAUUUCUACCGGGAAAUAAUUUUUCAAAAGAAUGAAAAGAUGACAUUUUCUCGUCAUAAGGAGGAAGUGAGAUUGAGGGCAACAUUAAAGCACAAACGUAAAGCUGGCAGGAUGUUGAUAGUCCUUUCUUACAACCUGCCCACAUGUUAAGGACCACACUCAAAUUUGUAUUGAAAUCAAGUCGACUUUCAAGGUUAAGUUAUUUAAGGGGAACUGAAAUGGCACUUGGGGCAUUUCCCUAUUCUAACAGUGCCCUUGAGUCAUUUCCCUAAAGUGGAACAGACACAACUGCAACUUGAUUCCUUUCAAUAGAAUUUCAGAGAAAUGUUUACGUCCUCAGGGUAAACGAAAGCAAACCCACAACGCUUAUACCCACUGUUCCUGUGUGAUGCCUCCAUGCUUACCUGUAAAUGUGGACAGAAUUAGAAAAAAUGUUUUCAACCUUAAUGUUUGGAAUCAAAUCUGAGAUUAUGUUCAUAAACCAAAAAUUGGUUGUUACUCUGCGAUUAUGUAGAUGGGAAUACGGCAUAUUAAGUCAAUUUAACUAAUUUAACUUAUUUAGAAUUUAUGUUAUUUAAUUUCUUUAUUUCUUUAUUAUCAUCAUCAUUGCUAUAUGUCAGCAACUUGUGACUGCUCUUGUGAAAUUGCUGUAAUAGAUAGGCAAUGAUUAACAAUAAAACACAGGUGUAACCAUAUAUUCCUAUUUAGGACAAAAUAUGACCUUUAUAAAUGUUCAUUUUAUUUGAAUAAGUUCUCAACAAAUCUAUAAAUAGUGUUUACUGUUUUCAACGUGAAAGCCCUACCAAGGUCAGAGUGUCCUCAUUAGGUUUUGAACACUUUUAUAAACCUUUAUUUCACACUCCGGUACAUGUUUAAAACAUUUGUAUAAAACUGCAACUAAACGUUGUAUAACCUGAUGUUAUAGAUUGUGUGUAUCAUUACAUGUUAUUACAGCUAUAUUAUUUCUUCCUAUCAAAUAAUUAUUUGCCAGUUAUUGCUGAAAACUGGCUGAUAUGGUUUCAGAGGAAAAGUUAACAAAAAAUGAAAUCGUCUGUAUCUGUUUACAAAUGUGUUUUGUUGUAUGUUCCACACAGUCAUAUUAUCUAGAGUGUCAUCCACAGCAGAGAUUACAUACCUGUGGUCUUAUCCUGUGACUUUAGUCCUUCCCGUCCAUGUGAUCUGAUGUAUACUCAGGAAAUAGGACUGAAGCUAUGAUGUUUUUUGUAUGUGGGAGUUGAAAUUAUUAUAUAAUUAUUAAAAGGAGCUCAGUUAUCUCAUGUGACUGGAAAGUUGGAAAUUUCACUUCUGUUAAUUUUUACAAGAACUAAAUUCCCCUUCUUGUGAUGAUUUUGCACAAAUGUGAUACUUAGUUUUUUGUAUUUGCUAAACUACUUUAUAUAUUGUUUAGAUGAAUGGCCUCCUAAGUGAUGCUUAGCUGUCAACCAGUGUUUAAUAUAGUAUGCCUUCAUACAUUUUACACAACAUUUGAAACUCUUGUGAAUUUUACAAAAUUUGUAUGAAAUAUUUAUAUUAAAAUGCAAGAAAUGAUUUGUGUAUCACUACAUAUUAUUACAGAUGUUUAUUCUUAUUAUAACUAACUAAACACCAGCUAUGGGCGCUUUAUAGGAAAAGUUCAUCUCAAGAAUAAGAGUUAUCCCGAUGACUUCGCACAGACGUGAUAUUUGAUCACCUCAAGCUUAAGUGCAUUUGUAAGGCUGGAAGUUUUGAUAAAUCAUGAAGUGAUUAUUAUGACAGUGCGGUUCACAGAGGUUAUAAAGUGUGCAGAGAUGCUAAGAACCAUCCAUCUUAUCAAAUUCCAGCAGUGGCCCCCGCAAGACUAAUCCUUCCCUGGCACAGCUGCAGGCCCUCUGGCUCCCACAUCCAACAUCAACACCGUUCAAAACGUGAGAACAGUUGCAAAGUGCUGUUCUCGGAUGCUGAUAAAAUGGCUCCAAUAGAAAUUCUGCCUGAAUGUUGAUGCUUUCGUCUGCUUGUUUUUAAGUGUUUGGUAGUUGCAGAGAAAAUAAAUUCUACAAGGGUC